UGAAGAGGAGCUCGCGUCUGAUUAGCUAGUAGGUGUGGUAAGAGCGCACCUAGGCGACGAUCAGUAGCUGGUCUGAGAGGAUGAGCAGCCACACUGGGACUGAAACACGGCCCAAACUCCUACGGGAGGCAGCAGUGGGGAAUUUUCCGCAAUGGGCGAAAGCCUGACGGAGCAAGACCGCGUGGGGGAGGAAGGCCUUUGGGUUGUAAACCCCUUUUGUUAGGGAAGAAAAAAAUGACGGUACCUAACGAAUCAGCCUCGGCUAACUCCGUGCCAGCAGCCGCGGUAAUACGGAGGAGGCAAGCGUUAUCCGGAAUUA
rnacentral:rRNA from 1 species